CUCAUUAAAAAUUUCUGUAUAAAAAUAAUUUUUAUUUUUAUUUUUUUAAAUAUAUUUUUUAUUUUUUAUGUCAAAACGAGUUGAAUAUACGCUCUGUCAUCUUUAAUCAGUAUUUUUUUGAUAUUUUUUAUGUAAAAUAAUAAUUCUAUUAUUACUGAAAAAAAAAAUAUNGCGGUAGCACGGAGGCCUCCGUGCUACCAAGUUGUUUUCAAUGAUGUGGUGUCUAAAUCGACGAUCGGCUCCGUUAGACUUGAUCUAUACUAUUAAAAGUAUUUGAAAACUAAAUUUCAUAACUUUUCGACAUCAUUUGGCUAGUGAUCAAAAGAUCUCAAAAUUGACAAUUCUAAUGGUAGAUCUGAUGCAUUUGUGAAUUUAACGGUGUAAAACAAUUCAAAUCUGAUGAAAUUUUUAUAAAAAAUUCUUUUCACUAUUUAGAGUAAGAUCAGUAUCUCUGAUCUUAAAUUUAAGUCUUUUAUCAUCAUUUUUUAUAAGAUUUUUAUUUUCAGCCAUUCAUUUUUAGACUACUCGUUUGAUAGAUAAAUGAUACCGAAAAAUUAUAAAAUUUAGUUUCCAAAUGCUUUUUAUAAUGUAGAUCAAGUCUAAAGGAGCCGAUCGUCGAUUUGGAAGCCGCAUAAUUGAAAACAACUUGGUAGCACGGAGGCCUCCGUGCUACCGAUAGUAUACCAAACUAGCUAUAUAUAUAUAUAUAACCAAGUGGGGACCACUCAACCCUAGGGGGACCACUCAACUCUAAUUGACUAUUAUCAUCCUAACCUUACAAUUUUUCAUCCAAAGGUUAAAAACUUGAUAGUAAAAAAAACGUUUUACUAUUAAUAGUAUUCUGGCCUAAUUCUAUAUAGUUGGACUGGGCUACUAUUAGUAGCAAAAUCUCAUUAUUGCUACCAGUUUUUUAGCCUUUGGAUCAACUUUUUUUAUUAUUUCUAACCAUUGGAUUAAAUACUAUAAACCAGUGGGGACCACUCAACCCUACGGGGACCACUCAACUCUAACUGACUAUUAUCAUCCUAACCCUAUAAUUUUUCAUCCAAGGAUUAAAAACUUGAUAGUAAAAAAAACGUUUUACUAUUAAUAGUAUUCUAGNCUUAA
rnacentral:lncRNA from 1 species